rnacentral:ncRNA from 2 species
UACGGAAAAAGUGCCUCGGGUGCCCGUAAGGGCAUAACAGGGAAGUCCGGUGUAAAACCGGCGCGGUCCCGCCACUGUAAGUGAGAAGCGAUCCCUCUGAUCAACGCCACUCAACCGAUAGGUUGGGGAAGGUACAGGGAACGCGGUGAAGGUGAACACCUUCUGAACUCAUGAGCCAGGAGACCUACCCGAGGAGAUGUGGUUUC